UCUCAUUAAAGUGGAUAUGGCAUAGGACGAAAUAAGUGUGACCAAUUGAAGGUUGUAGUCUCUGUACACAAUAUGGCGGUGUAUACGAAUACGAACAGUUUACUGUGACGAUGAUACGAAAUUCCACGUGUAAUUAAUUAUCUAUAGACGUAGAUGUGUAUCAGUUUUAUCCAAAAUAUUACUUUUUUUAUAAUAAAAAUAGUAAAAUAGUAAAAUAGUGAGAUUCCAAAAUUAAAAAAUGUGUUUAUUGUGGAAAAGGAAGUGAAAAUAAACAACAAACGUUUCAUAGCUGCAAGUAUGGAUUACUACAACACAAUUAAGGACACGAGGACAAAAUAAGCUAUAACAAUAUCCUUUAAACUUAUUUAUAAGUUUAGUAGUAGUAGUAUUAUUUAUUAGUAAAAUUAUUUAACAAGAUGGUCAUAAAUAAAAAUUUACGAUUUUUAGACACCUGCAA